UACGUAGGGUGCGAGCGUUGUCCGGAAUUACUGGGCGUAAAGGGCUCGUAGGCGGUUUGUCGCGUCGUCUGUGAAAACCAGCAGCUCAACUGUUGGCUUGCAGGCGAUACGGGCAGACUUGAGUACUGCAGGGGAGACUGGAAUUCCUGGUGUAGCGGUGAAAUGCGCAGAUAUCAGGAGGAACACCGGUGGCGAAGGCGGGUCUCUGGGCAGUAACUGACGCUGAUGAGCGAAAGCGUGGGUAGCGAACAGGAUUAGAUACCCGGGUAGU
rnacentral:rRNA from 1 species